rnacentral:SRP_RNA from 1 species
GCCGGGUGCAGUGGCGCGCGCCUGUAAUCCAAGCUGCUGGGAGGUUGAGGCUGGCGGAUCGCUUGAGUUCAGGGGUUCUGGGCUGCAGUGGACUAUGUCGAUCGGAUGUCCGCGCUAAGUUCGGUAUCGAUAUGGUGCUCCUGGGGCUGGCGGAUCGCUUGAGUUCAGGGGUUCUGGGCUGCAGUGGACUAUGUCGAUCGGAUGUCCGCGCUAAGUUCGGUAUCGAUAUGGUGCUCCUGGGGGAGCUCGGGACCACCAGGUCGUCUAAGGAGGGGUGAACCGGCCCAGGUCGGAGACGGAGCAGGUCAAAUCCCCCGUGCCGAUCAGUAGUGGGGUCGCACCUGUGAAUAGACACUGCAGUGCAGCCUGAGCGAUACAGCGAGACUCAGACUUUU